UACGUAGGGGGCAAGCGUUGUCCGGAUUUAUUGGGCGUAAAGAGCGUGUAGGCGGCCAGGUAGGUCUGCUGUGAAAACUCGAGGCUCAACCUCGAGACGUCGGUUGAAACCACCUGGCUAGAGUCCGGAAGAGGAGAGUGGAAUUCCUGGUGUAGCGGUGAAAUGCGCAGAUAUCAGGAAGAACACCCGUGGCGAAGGCGGCUCUCUGGGGCGGUACUGACGCUGAGACGCGAAAGCGUGGGGAGCGAACAGG
rnacentral:rRNA from 1 species